GGCGGCUCCUGUUCACAGAGUGCGUUCCCUCCUUCACUUGUGUUUUCCGCCAAUGCUCUACAGACGUCUCUCUCUCCCUGUGUGCUUGUGUGUAGUUGGCGCGGAAUGCACACGGUGCGGUCUGAAUAAGCGCGCCCCCGCGAGACGGAGCUGAGCGAUAUGCAACAGUGCGCAACGAGAAAAGAAAGAAAGUGAGCGAGGAUGAGAGCGCGUGAGCGGAUCUCUGCAUCUGAGGAAGGAGGACGAAGAGGGGGAGGACUGCACGCCGCAGGCGCUGUUCUCUUUUAAGAACGUAUCGGGAUAUCGAAAGUCGAAAAAAAAAGCUGCCCCGCCCCACCCCCGUUUUCCCACAUGCUCAGUUGCGCUCCUGUCCUGCAUUCCUGCUAUUUUCGCGUCUCCAGUCCGUCUAACAGAAAAGGAAAAUUUCUUUCUAGUCGGACGAAAAGAAGGAUGGAAAAGAGAGGCCAUGAUGGACAUUUUCGCGAGAGGGAUCAGCGGCGUGAUGUGGUGUGUUUGGCUUUUUUUUCGCUUAGCCUUCUCCCUUCUCCCCCUCUCUCCUCUACAGCGCGAAGAGAGACAUGCUUGGCCUUUGUCUUAAUCGGAACUAAAAUCGAGACAAAAAAGCAAGAGAAAGACUGUGAUAAGAUCGCACUUUAAACGGCAGUUUUCAAGAAGAAUGCUUUGGGGAGGUGCGGCCGUGUACACAGAAAAGUACGCGCCUCACUUUCUCAUGCUGAAACGCGAUGAGCCACUUGGGCCAUCUCGCGGCUUUCGUGGGCUUUCGGCGUGCGCGCUGAGUCCUUUUCGGCAUAACUGCCGUCACACACGGCAACACUGCAUUACUGGCAUUUCUGUGAUAACGUAGAUGCUCUUUUUUCUGCCCACGCUUCUGUUAUA
rnacentral:misc_RNA from 1 species